AUGCGGAUCCUGCAAGUACCGCAUCGGGGAACGCCGGAUGGGCGGCUUUGCUUGGUGACCGACGGCGAGAAACAGCUGCAGCUCUGGGUGCGCGGGGAGGGCAGGUCGAGUGACAACAGUUGGCUUCUGGAGAGGAGGAUCGUGGAUUUGAGCGUGGUGUGCGACAUGGUUCCUGGCCUGCACAGGGACACGAAGCUCAGGACCCUUAGGGUCUGGCCCAGCGACAUGGACGCCGGUCGCACAGGGAAGGUGUUCAUCAAGACCUGGGGAUACGGGUACUACUCAUUCGAUAUGGACACCGGCAAGAUGGAGCGCCUGUCGACCAAAGGUGGCAAGGAAUAUGGGCACCCCAUGUUCGCCUACUUCCUGGCAUGGCCACCUGCGUUCCUCGCUCCAGAGAACUGA
rnacentral:rRNA from 1 species